GGCAGUUCUUGGGUUACGCACCCUGGAAUCGGGCUCCCUCCUCUCCGGUUCCUGGUGAGUCACCCGAGAACCGUC
rfam:Myotis lucifugus cont2.70627, whole genome shotgun sequence.